rnacentral:rRNA from 1 species
AGAGUUUGAUCCUGGCUCAGAACGAACGCUGGCGGCAGGCUUAACACAUGCAAGUCGAGGGGGAUAGUUCUUCGGAACUAGAGACCGGCGCACGGGUGCGUAACGCGUAUGCAAUCUACCUUGUACAGGGGGAUAGCCCAGAGAAAUUUGGAUUAAUACCCCAUAGUAUUAUUGAAUGGCAUCAUUUAAUAAUUAAAGUUCCAACGGUACAAGAUGAGCAUGCGUCCCAUUAGCUAGUUGGUGUGGUAACGGCACACCAAGGCCACGAUGGGUAGGGGUCCUGAGAGGGAGAUCCCCCACACUGGUACUGAGACACGGACCAGACUCCUACGGGAGGCAGCAGUGAGGAAUUUUCUGCAAUGGGCGAAAGCCUGACAGAGCAAUACCGCGUGAGGGAUGAAAGCCUAUGGGUUGUAAACCUCUUUUCUCAAGGAGGAAGAUAUGACGUUACUUGAGGAAUAAGCAUCGGCUAACCCUGUGCCAGCAGCCGCGGUAAUACAGGGGAUGCAAGUGUUAUCCGGAUUUAUUGGGCGUAAAGCGUCUGCAGGUUGAUAUUUAAGUCUUUUGUUAAACCUUCGGGCUUAACCUGAAUUCUGCAAAAGAAACUAUUUAUCUUGAGUAUGGUAGAGGUAAAGGGAAUUUCCAGUGGAGCGGUGAAAUGCGUAGAGAUUGGAAAGAACACCAACAGCGAAGGCACUUUACUGGGCCAUUACUGACACUGAGAGACGAAAGCUAGGGGAGCAAACGGGAUUAGAUACCCCGGUAGUCCUAGCUGUAAACGAUGGAUACUAGAUGUUGUGCAUUUUUUGAGUGUGCAGUGUCGUAGCUAACGCGUUAAGUAUCCCGCCUGGGAAGUAUGCUCGCAAGAGUG